rnacentral:rRNA from 1 species
GCUCAGAUUGAACGCUGGCGGCAGGCCUAACACAUGCAAGUCGAGCGGUAGAGAGAAGCUUGCUUCUCUUGAGAGCGGCGGACGGGUGAGUAAUGCCUAGGAAUCUGCCUGGUAGUGGGGGAUAACGUUCGGAAACGGACGCUAAUACCGCAUACGUCCUACGGGAGAAAGCAGGGGACCUUCGGGCCUUGCGCUAUCAGAUGAGCCUAGGUCGGAUUAGCUAGUUGGUGAGGUAAUGGCUCACCAAGGCGACGAUCCGUAACUGGUCUGAGAGGAUGAUCAGUCACACUGGAACUGAGACACGGUCCAGACUCCUACGGGAGGCAGCAGUGGGGAAUAUUGGACAAUGGGCGAAAGCCUGAUCCAGCCAUGCCGCGUGUGUGAAGAAGGUCUUCGGAUUGUAAAGCACUUUAAGUUGGGAGGAAGGGCAGUAAAUUAAUACUUUGCUGUUUUGACGUUACCGACA